UUUCCUACGCAACGUUCAUCGGCGUAGGGUGAGUCGGCCCCUAAGGCGAGGCAGAGAUGCGUAGUCGAUGGGAAACGGGUUAAUAUUCCCGUACUUGAUUCAAAUGCGAUGUGGGGACGGAGAAGGUUAUGCUGGCAAUCUGUUGGAAUAGAUUGUUUAAGCCGGUAGGUAGAAGGAGUAGGCAAAUCCGCUUCUUUAAUACCGAGACGUGAUGACGAGUGUCUACGGACAUGAAGCAGCAAAUACCACGCUUCCAGGAAAAGCCACUAAGCUUCAGUUUGAAUUAAACCGUACCGCAAACCGACACAGGUGGGCAGGAUGAGAAUUCUAAGGCGCUUGAGAGAACUCGGGAGAAGGAACUCGGCAAAUUGAUACCGUAACUUCGGGAGAAGGUAUGCCCUCUAAUGUAAAGGACUUGCUCCGGAAGCAUCUGAGGGUCGCAGAGAAUCGGUGGCUGCGACUGUUUAUUAAAAACACAGCACUCUGCAAACACGAAAGUGGACGUAUAGGGUGUGACGCCUGCCCGGUGCUGGAAGGUUAAUUGAAGAUGUGCAAGCAUCGGAUCGAAGCCCCAGUAAACGGCGGCCGUAACUAUAACGGUCCUAAGGUAGCGAAAUUCCUUGUCGGGUAAGUUCCGACCCGCACGAAUGGCGUAACGAUGGCCACACUGUCUCCUCCCGAGACUCAGCGAAGUUGAAAUGGUUGUGAAGAUGCAAUCUCCCCGCUGCUAGACGGAAAGACCCCGUGAACCUUUACUGUAGCUUUGCAUUGGACUUUGAAGUCACUUGUGUAGGAUAGGUGGGAGGCUUAGAAGCAGAGACGCCAGUUUCUGUGGAGCCGUCCUUGAAAUACCACCCUGGUGGCUUUGAGGUUCUAACCCAGACCCGUAAUCCGGGUCGGGGACCGUGCAUGGUAGGCAGUUUGACUGGGGCGGUCUCCUCCCAAAGAGUAACGGAGGAGUUCGAAGGUUACCUAGGUCCGGUCGGAAAUCGGACUGAUAGUGCAAUGGCAAAAGGUAGCUUAACUGCGAGACCGACAAGUCGAGCAGGUGCGAAAGCAGGACAUAGUGAUCCGGUGGUUCUGAAUGGAAGGGCCAUCGCUCAACGGAUAAAAGGUACUCCGGGGAUAACAGGCUGAUU
rnacentral:rRNA from 1 species